UACGUAGGGUGCGAGCGUUAAUCGGAAUUACUGGGCGUAAAGUGUGCGCAGGCGGCCGCGCAAGUCGAGUGUGAAAGCCCCGGGCUUAACUUGGGAAUUGCGCUCGAAACUACGUGGCUGGAGUGUGGCAGAGGAAGGUGGAAUUCCACGUGUAGCGGUGAAAUGCGUAGAUAUCAAGAGGAACACCUGCGGCGAAGGCGGGUUGCUGGGCCGACACUGACGCUGAGGCGCGAAAGCCAGGGGAGCGAACGGG
rnacentral:rRNA from 1 species